rnacentral:rRNA from 1 species
AUUGAACGCUGGCGGUAUGCUUAACACAUGCAAGUCGAACGAUGAGAAAGAGCUUGCUCUUUCGAUUAGUGGCGGACGGGUGCGUAACGCGUAGGAAUCUACCUAUUAGUGGGGACAACUUGGGGAAACUUAAGCUAAUACCGCAUACGCCCUACGGGGGAAAGAAGGGGAUCGCAAGACCUUUUGCUAAUAGAUGAGCCUGCGUAGGAUUAGCUAGUUGGUGGGGUAAAAGCUCACCAAGGCGACGAUCCUUAACUGGUUUGAGAGAAUGAUCAGUCACACUGGAACUGAGACACGGUCCAGACUCCUACGGGAGGCAGCAGUGGGGAAUAUUGGACAAUGGGCGAAAGCCUGAUCCAGCAAUACCGCGUGUGUGAAGAAGGCCUUAGGGUUGUAAAGCACUUUCAAUUGGAAGGAAAACCUCGAAGCUAAUACCUUCGAGUUUGACAUUACCUUUAGAAGAAGCACCGGCUAACUCCGUGCCAGCAGCCGCGGUAAGAC